GACGAACCGAGCGAACGUUGUUCGGAAUCACUGGGCUUAAAGGGCGCGUAGGCGGGUGCUCAAGUCUGGGGGGAAAUCCUCCGGCUCAACCGGAGAACUGCCGUGGAUACUGGGUGCCUCGAGGGUGGUAGGGGUAUGCGGAACUAUCGGUGGAGCGGUGAAAUGCGUUGAUAUCGAUAGGAACUCCGGUGGCGAAGGCGGCAUACUGGACCACAUCUGACGCUGAGGCGCGAAAGCCAGGGGAGCAAACGGG
rnacentral:rRNA from 1 species